rnacentral:rRNA from 1 species
CCUACGGGAGGCAGCAGUGAGGAAUAUUGGGCAAUGGACGAAACUCUGAACCAGCAAAGUCGCGUGAAUGAUGAAGGUCCUCUGAGUUUAAAGUUCUUUUUUAAUGGGAGUAGAAAGUGCCGCUACUUUAGUUAUAAGCCUCCCCUAACUACGUGCCAGUAGUCACGCUAAUACGUAGGCGGCGAGCGUUAUCCGGAUUGACUGGGCGUAAUGGGUGCGUAGGUGGUGUGGCAAGUUAGUAGCGUAACUCCAAGGCUCAACCUUGUAAUUGCUGCUAAAACUGGUGGACUUGAGUGCAGGAGAGGCAAGCGGAAUUCCUGGUGUAGCGGUGAAAUGCGUAGAUAUUAGGAGGAACACCGGUGGCGAAGGCAGGUUACUGGACUGAAACUGACACUGAGGCACGAAAGCGUGGGUAGCAAACAGGAUUAGAUACCCGAGUAGUC